GACGAACGCUGGCGGCGUGCUUAACACAUGCAAGUCGAACGGAAAGGCCUGCUUUCCCUUGUGGAUUGCGGGUACUCGAGUGACGAACGGGUGAGUAACACGUGAGUGAUCUGCCCCCAACUUGGGUAUAAGCCUGGGAAACUGGGUCUAAUUCCCGAUAGGACUGCAGGGUGGUGCCUGUGGUGGCAAACGAUUUUCUAGUGGUUGGGGAUGAGCUCGCGGCCUAUCAGCUUGUUGGUGGGGUAAUGGCCUACCAAGGCGGCGACGGGUAGCCGGCCUGAGAGGGUGGACGGCCACAUUGGGACUGAGAUACGGCCCAGACUCCUACGGGAGGCAGCAGUGGGGAAUAUUGCACAAUGGGCGGAAGCCUGAUGCAGCGACGCCGCGUGGGGGAUGACGGCCUUCGGGUUGUAAACUCCUUUCGACCGCGAGGAAGCCACCUGGUUGGAAGGGUGGUGACGGUAGUGGUAGAAGAAGCACCGGCUAACUACGUG
rnacentral:rRNA from 1 species